AACGUAGGAGACGAACGUUAUCCGGAGUUACUGGGCGUAAAGGGCGUGCAGGCGGUCUGCCAAGUCCGGCGUGAAAUCUUUCGGCUUAACCGGGGGAUGUCGUCGGAGACUGGCGGACUAGAGGGUGAUAGAGGCGUGUGGAAUUCCGGGUGUAGUGGUGAAAUGCGUAGAGAUCCGGAGGAACACCAGUGGCGAAGGCGACACGCUGGGUCAUACCUGACGCUAAUACGCGACAGCAUGGGGAGCAAACGGG
rnacentral:rRNA from 1 species